rnacentral:rRNA from 1 species
GACGAACGCUUUCUUCGUGCUUAACACAUGCAAGUCGAACGGAAAGGCCCUGCUUUUGUGGGGUGCUCGAGUGGCGAACGGGUGAGUAACACGUGAGUAACCUGCCCUUGACUUUGGGAUAACUUCAGGAAACUGGGGCUAAUACCGGAUAGGAGCUCCUGCUGCAUGGUGGGGGUUGGAAAGUUUCGGCGGUUGGGGAUGGACUCGCGGCUUAUCAGCUUGUUGGUGGGGUAGUGGCUUACCAAGGCUUUGACGGGUAGCCGGCCUGAGAGGGUGACCGGCCACAUUGGGCCUGAGAUACGGCCCAGACUCCUACGGGAGGCAGCAGUGGGGAAUAUUGCACAGUGGGCGGAAGCCUGAUGCAGCAACGCCGCGUGCGGGAUGACGGCCUUCGGGUUGUAAACCGCUUUCGCCUGUGACGAAGCGUGAGUGACGGUAAUGGGUAAAGAAGCACCGGCUAACUACGUG